rnacentral:rRNA from 1 species
GACGAACGCUGGCGGCGUGCUUAACACAUGCAAGUCGAACGAUGAAGCCUUUCGGGGUGGAUUAGUGGCGAACGGGUGAGUAACACGUGGGCAAUCUGCCCUGUACUUUGGGAUAAGCCUUGGAAACGAGGUCUAAUACCGGAUAUGAUGAGUCCUCGCAUGGGGUUUGUUGAAAGUUCCGGCGGUACAGGAUGAGCCCGCGGCCUAUCAGCUUGUUGGUGGGGUAAUGCCUACCAAGGCGACGACGGGUAGCCGGCCUGAGAGGGCGACCGGCCACACUGGGACUGAGACACGGCCCAGACUCCUACGGGAGGCAGCAGUGGGGAAUAUUGCACAAUGGGCGAAAGCCUGAUGCAGCGACGCCGCGUGAGGGAUGACGGCCU